rnacentral:rRNA from 1 species
UAAAUACCCGCAGUACCUUGACUGUGCUAAGGUAGCAUAAUCAAUUGGCUCAUAAUUGGAGUCUAGCAUGAAUGAAAAAAUGGGUAAGCCCUGUCUCUGUCUUACAGAUUGAAAUUACUAAGCAGGUGAAAAUACCUGUACUCAAAUAAUAGACGAGAAGACCCUAGAAGCUUUCACAAUAAUAAUGUGUUUUGCUGGGGCGGCAUAGU